CACAGAUGCAUGAAAUCAUAUGGUAUUUGACUUUCUCCAUCUGACUUAUUUUGCUCAACAUAAUGCCCUCAAGUUUCAUUCAUGUUGUUGCAAAAGGCAAGAUUUCAUUCUUUUCUUUACAGCCAAUGAGGUGGAAGCAGAUUGGAGCCAGAGUGCCUCAGAAGUGCUAAGGAAGUGGAGGCACUGGGAAUCUCUGAGGACAGGCCUGUGGGAUAAGUAUGAAAACCAUAGAAUCAUUUCAAAAUUUAUUAAAGGUUGUCAACGACCCAGAUGAGGAACCCUUGGCCUUCAUUGUUUUGAGUGAUAUUAUGCAGAACCAAUCUGAAGACAGCAGCUUGCCAAGUCAACCUGCUGCUCUCUAUGAGUCUUGUAAGACUUCAUUCAGAACUCUGGAUUGUUUCACAAGAUGCUUUGGGAAGAGAUAAUACACAUAGAAAUUCCAUGGCCUGAGACCAUGCAUGCUACAAAUACAGACCCAUGAAUGGAUAUAAAUACACCUCUACUGACACAUUCCUCUCUUUACUUUUGUUAUUCUCUUGGUAAUCUUAUAAUAAACGCUGGCAUGCU
ensembl:lncRNA